rnacentral:misc_RNA from 1 species
GGAAGGAUCAUUAACACUAAUCCAAACAACUCAAUGAAGCCUUCAGUUGCAGCAGUUACACCGCUAGCGAAAGCAGGCAGUGGCGCUGCUGCAGCACCAAACAAACUAAACUACGCAAAGGAGCCUAACUAAGCUCAAAAUUAAAACCAAAUUCUCAACGAUGGAUAUCUUGGUUCCCAUAACGAUGAAGAACGCAGCGAAGUGCGAUAAGCAAUGCGAAUUGCAGAACCGUGAGUCAUCAGAUUUUUGAACGCAACUGGCGCUGGCUGGGUCUCCAGCCAGCAUGCUUGUUUCAGUGUCUUGUUUUCUCCUCACCCAAAUCUUAAUGCGAGAGAUACCCUUCUCUUGUCAAACAUGAAAGCACUCUGCGCUCUGCGGGCGGUUUCCUCAGCUUGCUGUGGACCGCACUCAAUGCAGCCGUCACAUUGCUUACAAUGUGAACUCGUUGAGAGUAGAGGUAGUUGCAGCGAUUGCUGCCUGUGCUUAGCCACUCAAACUUUUCUUGCAUCUGAAAUCAAGCAGGACCACCCGCUGAACUUAAGCAUAUCACUAAGCGGAGGAAAAGAAAUUAACUAAGAUUGCCUCAGUAACGGCGAGUGAAGCGGCAAGAGCCCAAACUGUAAAUCUUCACACUGCGUGUGACGAAUUGUAAUCUAAAGAUGGUUCGCUUACCGGGCGGUGGCGCAGAAGUGCCCUAGAACGGGCCGCCAGAGAGGGUGACAGCCCCGUACGUGGUGCCACUGCCUAACAAGCGGGUCUUCGAAGAGUCGGGUUGUUUUGUAUUGCAGCCCUAAGUGGGAGAUAAACUUCUUCUAAGGCUAAAUAUAUAUGGGAAACCGAUAGCGAACAAGUACUGUGAAGGAAAGAUGAAAAGAACUUUGAAAAGAGAGUCAAAAGACUUGAAAUCGUUGAGAAGGAA